rnacentral:rRNA from 1 species
GCUGGCGGCGUGCCUAAUACAUGCAAGUCGUACGCUUCUUUUUCCACCGGAGCUUGCUCCACCGGAAAAAGAAGAGUGGCGAACGGGUGAGUAACACGUGGGUAACCUGCCCAUCAGAAGGGGAUAACACUUGGAAACAGGUGCUAAUACCGUAUAACAAUCGAAACCGCAUGGUUUUGAUUUGAAAGGCGCUUUCGGGUGUCGCUGAUGGAUGGACCCGCGGUGCAUUAGCUAGUUGGUGAGGUAACGGCUCACCAAGGCCACGAUGCAUAGCCGACCUGAGAGGGUGAUCGGCCACAUUGGGACUGAGACACGGCCCAAACUCCUACGGGAGGCAGCAGUAGGGAAUCUUCGGCAAUGGACGAAAGUCUGACCGAGCAACGCCGCGUGAGUGAAGAAGGUUUUCGGAUCGUAAAACUCUGUUGUUAGAGAAGAACAAGGAUGAGAGUAACUGUUCAUCCCUUGACGGUAUCUAACCAGAAAGCCACGGCUAACUACGUGCCAGCAGCCGCGGUAAUACGUAGGUGGCAAGCGUUGUCCGGAUUUAUUGGGCGUAAAGCGAGCGCAGGCGGUUUCUUAAGUCUGAUGUGAAAGCCCCCGGCUCAACCGGGGAGGGUCAUUGGAAACUGGGAGACUUGAGUGCAGAAGAGGAGAGUGGAA